UACGUAGGGGGGCAAGCGUUUGUCCGGAUUUAUUGGGCGUAAAGAGCGUGUAGGCGGCUAGGUAGGUCCGUUGUGAAAACUCGAGGCUCAACCUCGAGACGUCGAUGGAAACCAUCUAGCUAGAGUCCGGAAGAGGAGAGUGGAAUUCCUGGUGUAGCGGUGAAAUGCGCAGAUAUCAGGAAGAACACCCGUGGCGAAGGCGGCUCUCUGGUACGUGACUGACGCUGAGACGCGAAAAGCGUGGGGAGCGAACAGG
rnacentral:rRNA from 1 species